rnacentral:rRNA from 1 species
CCCUUAGAUGCUCUGGGCCGCACGCGCGCUACACUGACCAGUGCAACAAGCAUCCGUCCUUGGCCGACAGGCCCGGGCAAUCUUUGAACGCUGGUCGUGAUGGGGAUAGACUUUUGCAAUUUUUGGUCUUCAACGAGGAAUUCCUAGUAAACGCAAGUCAUCAACUUGCAUUGAUUACGUCCCUGCCCUUUGUACACACCGCCCGUCGCACCUACCGAUUGAAUGGUCCGGUGAAAUCUCGGGACGGCGGCUCGGUCGCUUGCGUCCGACUGCUGAAACUUGAUUAAACCAUAUCAUUUAGAGGAAGGUGAAGUCGUAACA